CCUCACCCCUACCCAGCCCACAGCAUACUAACUUUCUCAGUUGCCAGCCUGCUGCUUUGGCCUCAGCUGUUAAUCGUCUCAGGUGGGUAAGUGGGUAAGUGGGUAAGUGGGCCCCCACUGGAGAGAGGCUUCGUGUAGCCCCCGCCGGCCCAGCCCCUUCAGCUCUAGAAAUCAGAUCAGAGCACAGACCUCUGGUUUGCAGAAUGGGACAGACCAGUGGCAGGGAGGAGAAUGAGUCGGCCGGCUGGUGGGAUGAGAGACUGAUUUCUUAACCUUGAUGGAAAGGGGGAAAGCCACAUCUUACCAAACUCUUCCGCUGCAUCAUAGAGAAUUUAAUUAUGUUUGGACAUUUGAAUGAGAACCAGAUGUGGCUCUGGCCCUUCAGGCCAGCAGGGUUCAAGGAGCUGCGUCUCUCCUGUGGUCUGCAGACCCCUGUGCUGUCUCUUAGCCCUGGAGGGCUACUCUUUGGGAACACCCUGCCUGGGAGCUCGGUGGGGUCUCCUGAGCUUCAAGGCUGGACUGUAGGUGAUAGGCAGGUCAAGGCUAGGUACCAAGCACCGGUUCCACUAGAGAGUUUCCAAGUGCUGUGUCGUCCUGGUAGCCAUGCUGAGUGGGCAUGUUUGCAGGGCCCUCAUUAGCACCCUCACCUACCCCACACGCAGACACACACACAAAGAACUCAUGUCCCAGCACCUGGCGGGGCAUUCUCUACCACCAAAGACACAUCUCUGAACUACCCAGGCCUGAGUCUACCUUAGAUGGCGUCUACCAAGGCUCGGCCCCCAAGAUUGUGUGUGACCUGGAGCCAGAAAGGCCCUUCCAGGCCCUCUUGCAUGGGGAGCCCUUCUCCAGGGGUCUCAGCCUGCUGAAACACCAGAGAUGGCAACACUGAUUUUCCAGCCAAAACACCACUGCAGUAAUAGUGAUCUCUUACACGUGUUCAGUGAAUGUUCUGCUUCUGAGAGCCCCAUCACAUUCCUUUCUCUUUAGAGCCUCACACACCCAGUGAGGUUGCCAGAGCAGCCCCUCCCCACCCCCCUGACAGAUGCUGAAGCAGACAAGGAGUGAAGUGACUCGCCCAGGUCAUUCAGCACGUGGGCGGCAGGACUGGCGCAAGAGUGAGCCCUCCGCCUCCUACUCUUCCUUCCUGCCAUCUAUAGCGGGGUUCAGUGCAGAGCUGUUCCCGGAGUGUGGCUUCAGCCAGAUUUACCAAAUACCUCAAAAACAGGGAAACAUGAGCCAGG
rnacentral:lncRNA from 1 species